CUGGAAAUGUCUCUUGUUGGGACUUCAGGUUUGCUGAAAUGACUAAGACUUGAAUCAACAUUCUUACAUGUGUUUUUUUUAACGCAACCCAGCCUUUCUGAUCUUGUUCCAUGCUUUCUGUGCUAGAGUCAUUUUUCGAUCCUUUGACAGUAGCUUUGUCAAUCCUUUUAUAUGCUGCUGCAGUUGUUAAGGGUUAAUUAGGGAUGUCUUGUAUUCGUAAAACUUUUGAGUCUGCUUAUGUUUGACGAGCAUGACAAAAGUUGCUCAAUCUCUUUGAAUAAGUCUCCCCAGAUUGCAUCCUUCAGUUUCUAAAUAUUUACUCUAGUUUCUGUGGGAUUGAGUUAUUGUAAAUGCCAUUUUAGCUCCAGUACAAAAUCUGUGAGCCGUGGAAGCAGCUACUGCAUUAGGGUAGGCUGUCAACAUCACACUCCUUGGGGUGCGACCCUUCCCCAAACCCUGUGUAAAUACGGGAUAUUUUGUGCACCGAGUUUCCCUUUUACAAGAUCUCAGAGGUUUCAAAUAUAGCAUUGUCAUGGAUAUUGGGGGUAAUUGCUAAAUAGCUAAACAAGGAAAUGGAAAAAAGUAAAAAUAAGUGGAGAGACUAGAAUGAAAGAAAGGGAAAAAGAAGGCAAAAAUAACUUACAAUUUCUCUUUGACUGACUGCUGUCUAAGAUCAAAUGGAAUAAAAUUAAUACUGGGAUGUGGUUCUGAGGCCAAUUUUAAAUGAUAAUGCUCUCUUGAAAAAUUAUUGUUGAAAAUGGAGGACCGAGGACCAAAUUGUUAAAAGGUUCCAUCAAUUAAAUGCAUACAUUUCAAAAGACAGAACUUGAGCAAUCAGCAUGAUGAGAGAGAAAGCAAAUGGGCUUGAUUACCUAAUGAUGUAAGACCACUUACUGAAGGAUUCUUUACAAAAGAAGCUAAGGUUGCAUGUUUCUUAUAAUUUUGUUCUGAAUGCAAAAAAGAGUAUGUAGGAUAGGUCUUGUAGGGGCAGUAAUGUUCUCUUUGAAAUGAAAAGUAUCUUUUAGAAUGGGAGGGUGCUGGGACACAGAAUUGUUUCAAGGGUACUCAUAUUGACUCAUAAAUUGGAUUCACCGAAAGUACAGAGAGAGAAGUCCAGUUUUGAUUAGGCAAUAGGCACUAAAGUCGAGGCUGAAGUAGAGAGAACUUUGGACCUUCUGAAGAUAACUAAAAAAAUGUGAACCAAAUAUCAGCGUCAAAAUUUGAUUCAGUGGGUGGUGUAGAUUCAUUCUUGACUGAGAUUGUAGUGAUGCACCAAAACACCUUUCAUUGUAAGAGAUGGUUGUUUCCUAGUUGAAAUUUCUUUCUUGAUGCAUAAACUUGAAAAGAAAAGCUUGUGAAGGGGUAAUAUGAUACGUCUUCUGUCUUUCUCGUCUUCAAAUGUGAAUGUGGACUCUUUUCAUCAUAGAUUUAGAUGAUGAUUGGAUUUGCUUAGCAACAGCUUGCUGCUAUCUGCUCUGAUUCAAGAAAUUUGUUUUCCUGUGUAGUUUACAUGAUAUUUCUAGUUUUUGUUAAGUUCAAUCCUGAAAAUGCUUGAUACAGGAAGACAAACAGAACUCUAUGGGAAACACGAGUGUCUCCUAAUGUUGUUUAUUCUAUGCAUCACCUUAGAAACGACACUUCAAUAUUGAUGGUUGGUGGAAUCGACGGCGUGUUAAGAAUUGUCGACCAGCUAACUGGUGAAGUAAUUUCGAGAUGCAUAAUGGAUGAUAGUAGCACUGUGUUCAUUGGUGGUUGGUGGAAUCGACGGCGUGUUAAGAAUUGUCGACCAGCUAACUGGUGAAGUAAUUUCGAGAUGCAUAAUGGAUGAUAGUAGCACUGUGUUGCAUCGUUCAACAGAGAGAUUUGGAACUGUCCAAAUUGAGAGCAGGAAACUGAAAAGGCUCUCUGAAGAUGAUCGAAUUGAUCUUAUGCCAAGAGCUUCCCGGCCACAAAUCACAUGUUUAGCUGUUGGGAUGGAGAAAGUUGUUACUACUCAUAAUGAUAAGUAUAUCAGAGUUUGGAAAUUCAGGAAAUGAAAAGGAUUACACUACCUGAGAUUCCGGGUAUUCGUUGUAGUUCUGUAGCACUUAAUUUGUAAUAGUGUUGUUUCAAGCCACUAUAACAUUAUCAUGCUAUCACUACCUGAGAUUCCGGGUAUUCGUUGUUGUUCUGUAGCAUUUCUUUGUAAUAGUGUUGUUUCAAGCCACUAGAACAUUAUACUGCUAUUUUUGGCCUCUGACACCCUUUCUGUUCGGGCGUGCGCGAGCGCCGGCGUGCCUGUUCACAGCGUAUAAUAAUUGAGAAUCACCGCAUGUCUCGUUACAUAGACUUUUCCUUUUACCUAGAAUCGUGUAUGCGUAUUUUUAGCUGUUUGAGUUUUAAUUUCAACUAUUUGAAUAAUUUGGUAGUAAGUCAUGACAUUGAUAGUUUUGAAAUAUCACUUAAAUUAGACAACUUCCUUUAUUUAUUUAUUUUGGUUUCAAAUUGGUCUAUCUGUUCAGAUCUAUUUUUUAUUCUUCCACUAUUGAAAAACAAUGUUCACGCGAUACAGUUUACAUUUUUAAAAGAACAAUUUUUCAACCAUGUUUACUCCAC
rnacentral:lncRNA from 1 species